CACAUACUCCAUUCGUCCAGAAUUACUUGUCACAUAAAUGUGUAAAAAUGAAUGUACCUAAAACUAAAAUACAUCUAGAUACAUUCAUUCCUAUGACAAGUAUUUCCGGACGGAGGGAGUAUUUG
rfam:Hordeum vulgare subsp. vulgare, WGS project CAJW01000000 data, contig: morex_contig_274206